UGUUUCGGCUAGGGGGCCAUCCCGGCUUACCAACCCGAUGCAAACUGCGAAUACCGGAGAAUGUUAUCACGGGAGACACACGGCGGGUGCUAACGUCCGUCGUGAAGAGGGAAACAACCCAGACCGCCAGCUAAGGUCCCAAAGUCAUGGUUAAGUGGGAAACGAUGUGGGAAGGCCCAGACAGCCAGGAUGUUGGCUUAGAAGCAGCCAUCAUUUAAAGAAAGCGUAAUAGCUCACUGGUCGAGUCGGCCUGCGCGGAAGAUGUAACGGGGCUAAACCAUGCACCGAAGCUGCGGCAGCGACGCUGAUGCGUUGUUGGGUAGGGGAGCGUUCUGUAAGCCUGUGAAGGUGGCCUGUGAGGGUUGCUGGAGGUAUCAGAAGUGCGAAUGCUGACAUAAGUAACGAUAAAGCGGGUGAAAAGCCCGCUCGCCGGAAGACCAAGGGUUCCUGUCCAACGUUAAUCGGGGCAGGGUGAGUCGACCCCUAAGGCGAGGCCGAAAGGCGUAGUCGAUGGGAAACGGGUUAAUAUUCCCGUACUUGGUGUUACUGCGAAGGGGGGACGGAGAAGGCUAUGUUGGCCGGGCGACGGUUGUCCCGGUUUAAGCGUGUAGGUGUGUGUUCCAGGUAAAUCCGGUUCACUUUAACACUGAGGCGUGAUGACGAGGCACUACGGUGCUGAAGCAACAAAUGCCCUGCUUCCAGGAAAAGCCUCUAAGCAUCAGGUAACAUCAAAUCGUACCCCAAACCGACACAGGUGGUCAGGUAGAGAAUACCAAGGCGCUUGAGAGAACUCGGGUGAAGGAACUAGGCAAAAUGGUGCCGUAACUUCGGGAGAAGGCACGCUGACACGUAGGUGAAGUGAUUUACUCAUGGAGCUGAAGUCAGUCGAAGAUACCAGCUGGCUGCAACUGUUUAUUAAAAACACAGCACUGUGCAAACACGAAAGUGGACGUAUACGGUGUGACGCCUGCCCGGUGCCGGAAGGUUAAUUGAUGGGGUCAGCGCAAGCGAAGCUCCUGAUCGAAGCCCCGGUAAACGGCGGCCGUAACUAUAACGGUCCUAAGGUAGCGAAAUUCCUUGUCGGGUAAGUUCCGACCUGCACGAAUGGCGUAAUGAUGGCCAGGCUGUCUCCACCCGAGACUCAGUGAAAUUGAACUCGCUGUGAAGAUGCAGUGUACCCGCGGCAAGACGGAAAGACCCCGUGAACCUUUACUAUAGCUUGACACUGAACAUUGAGCCUUGAUGUGUAGGAUAGGUGGGAGGCUUUGAAGUGUGGACGCCAGUCUGCAUGGAGCCGGCCUUGAAAUACCACCCUUUAAUGUUUGAUGUUCUAACGUGGACCCGU
rnacentral:rRNA from 1 species